rnacentral:rRNA from 1 species
UACGUAGGUGGCAAGCGUUGUCCGGAUUUAUUGGGUUUAAAGGGUGCGUAGGCGGUUCUAUAAGUCAGUGGUGAAAUACGGCAGCUCAACUGUCGAGGUGCCAUUGAUACUGAAGAACUUGAGUACAGACGAGGUAGGCGGAAUUGACGGUGUAGCGGUGAAAUGCUUAGAUAUCGUCAAGAACACCGAUAGCGAAGGCAGCUUACUAGGCUGUAACUGACGCUGAGGCACGAAAGUGUGGGGAUCAAACAGGG